UCCAUUUUCGAAGAUUGUUGCAUUCAGUGC
rnacentral:sRNA from 1 species